AUGGGUGCUCGCGCGCCGCCGUGGCGACGCCAUCGCCGGCGGCCGACGGGGCCCUCAGUGUCUCUCUCUUUUUCUCUGUCGCAGGAGGCGGAGGAAGAAAGAGAUGGAGAAAGAAAAGGAAGGAAGGGAGCUCGAGCGGCGCAGCACGGCGCGGUGGUGCGUCGCCGUCGCCGGCGACCGGCGCGGCACGGUGACCGAGUGGCCGGCGUCGAGCGCAACAGCUCAGUUCGGGAGCGAGAGAAGAGUGGCGCGAGAGGGAAAGAAUGGGUUAGGGUUUGCCCGAGCGGCGCGGUUGGAUCGCUUUGA
rnacentral:rRNA from 1 species